UGGGGAAUAUUGCACAAUGGGCGCAAGCCUGAUGCAGCGACGCCGCGUGGGGGAUGACGGCAUUCGGGUUGUAAACUCCUUUCGCUAGGGACGAAGCCUUUUGUGACGGUACCUAGAUAAGAAGCACCGGCUAACUACGUGCCAGCAGCCGCGGUAAUACGUAGGGUGCGAGCGUUGUCCGGAAUUACUGGGCGUAAAGGGCUCGUAGGUGGUUUGUCGCGUCGUCUGUGAAAUUCCGGGGCUUAACUCCGGGCGUGCAGGCGAUACGGGCAUAACUUGAGUACUGUAGGGGUAACUGGAAUUCCUGGUGUAGCGGUGAAAUGCGCAGAUAUCAGGAGGAACACCGAUGGCGAAGGCAGGUUACUGGGCAGUUACUGACGCUGAGGAGCGAAAGCAUGGGUAGCGAACAGG
rnacentral:rRNA from 1 species